ensembl:snRNA U6 U6 spliceosomal RNA
GUGCUCGCUUUGGCAACACAUAUACUACAACUGGAAUGAUACAGAGAAGAUUAGCAUGGCCCCUGUGCAAGGAUGACAUGCAAAUUAAAAAAAAAGUUUGUUU